AAUGCUACUUGUGAUUUGUGUGGUCAACAAACGAAAUCAUUUGAAGCUGGGAGUUUUCAGGUCGUAUGGGGCUUUAAUGAAUAUUUGAAGACAGCUACGUACAGUUCUGCAGCUACCCAGUUUACUUUCGGAAGGUCGGUGGUCUAUUCCCAGGUACAUUGUAUCUUGAUUCUCUCUUCCACCAAUAAAAACUGGGCGCCACCAGAUAACUGAAAAAUUGUUGAGUGUGGCGGAAAACAGCAAACAAUCAAUCAAUCCUUAUAUUAUCAUUUGAAUGAUAUAUUAUCCUUUUAUUUCAUAUCUAUAUUGUAAUUUCUUAUGUACAUCAUUAUGUGGACUUUACCUUGUACCUUAAAGGAGAAGGCUUAUAUAGGCGUUGUCUGCUGCCAUUAUGUUAUUCACAAUGAAAUGCUGUUUAAAGGGAAAGGAAACGAGAAUGGCUGUUUAUAUCAUGUGAUUAUAUUGUCACGUGCGUGAUUCCAAGCGUUGACAGCUUGCGAGAGAAUGACCUGAGGACUAGCAUUUUGAAUACAUGCGCAUGCGUGAGGUAUGAAACGCGUCUUUUUUGCAGGAAUAUUUUGUUAAUAUUUUUGCAGUGUUUGUUUAUAUUGCAACCAAAAAAUGAAAUUUUGCCAUAUAUA